AUUGAACGCUAGCGGGAUGCUUUACACAUGCAAGUCGAACGAGUGGCGGACGGGUGAGUAAUAUAUCGGAAGUGCCCAGUAGCGGGGGAUAACUACUGGAAACGGUAGCUAAUACCGCAUACUAUCGGAUAACCCAUAUGGGAUUAGCUAGUAGGUGGGGUAAUGGCGCACCUAGGCGACGAUCCCUAGCUGGUCUGAGAGGAUGACCAGCCACACUGGGACUGGUACACGGCCCAGACUCCGACGGAGGCAGCAGUGGGGAAUAUUGGUCAAUGGGGGCAAGCCUGAUGCAGCCAUGCCGCGUGUAUGAAGAAGGCCCUAGGGUUGUAAAGUACUUUCAGUCGGGAGGCGUUACCGACAGAAGAAGCACCGGCUAACUCCGUGCCAGCAGCCGCGGUAAUAC
rnacentral:rRNA from 1 species